AUGUACUUUAUUGCAUAUUCAUAUUACGUGUUUUCUUUUAGUCCACCAAGUAAUCCUCAGACUCUCUCCAAGUCUGCUAAAAGACGUCGGCCUACAAAGGCUGCCGAGGCAAAUGAGAAGAAAAAGCUGUUCAGUGAUACGGACACAGACAACACGACAGAGAUUAGCUGGUUACACUCAGCCAACAGGAAACCCAAGCCCAAAGUGGCAGACUACAGCAGGCAGCCGGUUAAACCCAUCUUUCCACCAGCUGACACUGCAUUUAAAUCACCAUAUACACCUUUGCCUUCGCCAAAACCAGUGAAAGAACAAAUCAAGCCAAAGCGGAAAAAAGCAGUUGGGCGAGCAGCAACGCUUCAGCAGACUGUCCCAGCUCGAGCCACAGAACAAGGAGAAAAGAGAGAGAAAACCUCUGUAGACAUAGCCAAACUACAAAAUGAGAAGGACGUACAGAAAAAGGCAGAUAAAGUCUUUGCAAAGAUUCUGGGAGGUCAGAGGAAUGAUAAAGGCAAGAAGAUGUGUAGUCCAGAGCAUCUUAUAGUGAAGAAGACGUCAUCUGCUCAGGGGUCAGUCAGAAGACAGAAGGAAUCUUGGGCUGCAAGACUAUCUUCCACAUUCGCCUCGCCUCCCUCCGUUGAGAAGAUGAGAUCAGGCGAAAAACUAACAACCAACUUGAGAUCCAAUGCUACACCGCUCCGUUCUCUGUCCAUCUCUCCGAUCGAAGCCGACUCUUCUCCGCUACAGCCUCUCGGUUCUCUCAAAGCCUUCUCUCUCUGUAAAACCCCGGGGAAUAAAGCUGCUGUGAAGCUGCCAUCUCACACCAUAACACCUGUUUCCACAACCUCAAGAGGCUCUAAGCGGAUUCUGCCUGCUGCACAGGUUGAGCUGAGUCCAGUCCACUCAUUACUGACCCCUACUCAACCCCAGGAGAAAUCCACCCAGCCCUCCCCACGCAUCCCUCCACACCUCCAGGAGGAGCUGAAAGGUGUCAUGGACAAAACCAGCCCAACAUCGUUUGAAAGGAGGUCUGUCAUUUCUGUGACAAUGAGCCAAUCUUCUCACUUAUCUGUGAGCAACAUGGCCUUGAUGUGCACUGAGCUAGAGGUACAGCUUUAA
rnacentral:lncRNA from 1 species